GUCCCUUCUUUGCUAUUCCUCCCAAAUAACCUACUGAUCUUAAUGUCCAAUCAAAUUAUCACAAUGAUGCAAGCCAAAAAAAAAAAGGGUUAAUCCUAGAUGGACCUGGCACCCAGACCACUUCAUUAAGCUGAAGUGGUCUGGGUGCCUAUAGUGGUCCUUUAACACACUCAACAUACAUCAAAAACAUAUAUUCUACAUCUGUCUCUAGACCAGCUAACUCUUCCUCUCUCCGGCUAACUCUACAAAAUUAAAAAUUAAAAAAAAUAGCAAAAUAGUUCAGUCUCCGUAGUUCAGCAUGGUUAAGAAAAUGAAAAAAAUAAGUCUUUCAAGAAUAUAAGGAAAUAAUUUUUGACACCAUAAAUUGUUUCAUAAGAAUGGCUAAUAGCAGCAAGAUGACCGACAACAAGGCAAUGUCAUCUUUCACAUAAUUAUUUUUCAGUACUAGCUUUUAGCUGCUGGAUUUUCACCACAAUGCUCUGUGCAACACCCCAAUUGUUGAAAGGGUUAUUAGAGAACUUGCGGCAUUAGACAGCCCUUUCCUGAUACUCGUGUGCAAAGU